ncrna:unclassified sequences IS605-orfB-I RNA
GUCAUAUAAAGAUGUAUUAGAUGCAAGACAAUCUAGCAUUUCCCUUUACGGCAUUGUAAAAUAUUAGAAGUUCAAACAAAAGUAAUUGUUGUGUGGUUAAGAAUCGAAACGAUUUGAGUUUGAAUGGAAGAGGUUAACCGUAUGACCUUGUGUUGAAAAACACUAAAAAUAAUCUUGAAUGCCGAUUUCUGAAAUUUCGUUAGUUUGAGUUACGGUAUC